GAGUUACAAAAUAAGCCUACUUAAACCAACCCUUAUACCAAUUACUUAAAUCAUUUUAACACGUAAGUAUGGGUGACAGAAAACCUUUUAGCGCAAUAAAUAAAGUACUGCAAAGGAAAAAUGAAAUAGAAAUGAUAUAAAUCAUUAAAACAAAAUAAAGCAAGAACUAAACCCCAUACCUUUUGCAUAAUGGUCUAGCAAGUCUUGUUCACAAAAAGAAUUUUAGCCGCACCCCCGAAACCAGACGAGCUACCUUAAGGCAGCAAUAAGAGCAAACCCGUCUCUGUAGCAAAAGAGUGGGAAGACCUAAAGGUAGUGGCGAAAAACCUAACGAGCCAGGAUAUAGCUGGUUACUUGAGAACGAAUUUUAGUUCAACUAAGAGCAAACAACCACCUAAAGAAUUAAGUAUGCUCUUAAUAUAAUUAACUGGGGAACAGCCCAGUUUAAAAGGGAAACAGCCCG
rnacentral:rRNA from 1 species